UUUAGGUCUGUCAGUAGCAAAGCGGCGGCCUCAUCAUACGGAGCUGCUGGCUGACCAGCUAAGCCGAAAUCACUUAAGACGCGUUCCUUGUAAUAUAACCACCGCUACACGCGCCUUCCCCCCACUCUCCGCCACCCCGAUCCCCUCAUCUUUACAUACAGACGCACACCCGAACGUCGCGCGGAAACACAUACGAGUAUACUAGUGGCAACUAUGUCAAUACAACCAUAACAGACACCGGCCAGUGUACUCUUGGACUCUCGAGUGCACGUGUGUUGUAUAUUUGUGUGAAAUGGAUAACCAUCUAAUCCAUUUAUAGUUACAACUAUUAAGUUACAUCAUUAUUAAUUAACAAGUGACACAAGCGAGUUGACUCCGCCAAAUUACAACCUACCUUCGAGUGUAUUGGAGGAUUUAUUUAUACACCACGUACUUGAGAAGAAGGUUGACGCAUGAUGCCCUAACGAAACAUCGGCUGGUGUGCGGGUGCCAGGACAAAAGAGACGACAGCAUCUUUCACAUCACCUCCAUCGAAUCAAUCAGCGAUAGAAUUGAAGUCACGAAUAUCGAAACGAGGGAGCGAGGGGCAGCU